UACACCUACUCACACUCCCCCAUGGAAGCAUGCUCCUCCCUCUCUGACACACACACACGCACAUGCACGCAGGGAUUCACACGCAUCACUCCUCAUGCCUCUCCAUCCCCUCCCCCCACCCAGCUACCCUGCCGGCAGCAGAGUGAGCAGCUCCAUGCAUCCAUCUGGGCCUGACCUGCCUACACUGUUUGCCUAAAAUACUUGAGAUGACUGGCCCUCGCUGCAGUGGAGAAACAGCCCUCUGUUUACAGGUCCAGAAGAUAGGGCAACACCACACAUGGUCAUCAGAACAGGGUCUUCUCACUGCUAGUGGAUCUAAUUCUCCCAGCUUCACAGGAAGUUCAGUCUGUGGUCCUGUAAAAUCAUUUUGGGUGGCUAUGUGGCUUCUGGUUCCGAGUUUUGGAACUCAUCUGUGGAGGACACCCAUGUUGCUUGCAAAGAUGCAGAAGCUGAAAUUCUGUCUAUCUAGAAAAUGCUUUCUUCCUUCUCCUGGCCCUGGCCUGUCACCUUCUCUGGAAGCCAUCCCUGACACACCUGUACCAGAAACCAACAGAAGUUUCUGACAUCGUAUGUUGAAUGUGACUGAAAGGAAGAUGGCAAAGUUGUGCUGAAACAAGAGCGAUGCUUUCGAAGAUCGUCUGGUUGUGCUUAAGAAAACGAGGUGAGUGUUACACAAGAUAUUCAUGAAGUAAUUUCACAAAGGUGAGUCAAGCCCAGAGCCAGGAUCUAAACUAAGGAAUGCACUAGGUGUGUGAGGAAUGAAUGCCGUCUCCUCUCCUCUGCCCUUCAGUAAGGAAGCACGUCACUGUGGCAAUCAAGGGGUUCAGAAGAGGGGGAUUUCACAUGAAAAGUAGAGAGCUGGCUGGAAUUGGGCAGAGGUGAUAACAUAACGGCUUUGGAAUGAUGCUACCGUGAGGUGAGGGGCUUGAAGCAAAUCUUCAAGAGCAGGCUGUAGUCUUGAUGAAUAAGCUAUUCUACUUGGCUCCUGUCUUAUCUUCCUGGAGCAACUAGCUUAGUUAGUUUUGCUUUUUCUCAGUGUCGUUUAUCACAGGGACAGGAAAGCAUUUUGAAUUCAUUUUUUGACCUGCAUCAACUUGUUGUGUGUACAUCUCAUUAUGAUGCAUCACAGUUAAUUUACAUGUGCUUUUCCCCCAAGACUGUGAACAAUUGAUAGCAUUUAAUUUUGUAUCAUGAUAAACACGUUGCCUGGUAGCAGUUUCAGCCACACUUUCCAGUGAAAUGGAUAAUGCAAUGCCUAAAGAAAAACUAACUCAACCUCCCCUACCGCAUUCAGUCCCCCACCCCAUAAUGAAGCACUGUGAUCAUGGUAAUACAGCGAUGACCAGAGAACCUGGCACUUGGGCUGACUCCUGGCAGCUGGACCUGUCGGAUUUAAUAGAAAGAAUACAAUGUUACGAUAGAGGUGAGUGGACCAUGUUACUCAUUCUUGCAAGGAUGCAUUCUGCCUGAGGUUGCUGUUUCUCAUUGUUGCAAGCAAGCUUUGGAAGACUUAGCUGGUUUCUGCUGGUCUCAGCGGUCAGCAGGUAUAUUCACAUGAGUUUUCUGGAAAUCUGCAUGCCAUUGCACAAACUCUUUGAGAUUUUGUAAACUCUGCGAAACCAUUUCAUUUAUUCAGGAAUAAAUAUAGAAAGAUCUAUAAGUUAACUAAUGAU
rnacentral:lncRNA from 13 species